CCGCCCGCCCUACCAUUUUCCAUAUGCUUCGCGAGGUUUUGCAUGGGCGGGUUGUGUGUGGCUACAUUUCUCAGCAAGACCUGCUAAACGAUAUUGCUAUGAAAUCAGCAUAAAGUUGCCUUUGAAUUUCUAGAGGCAUGUCCAAGAAAAGGGGCAGAAAGCGGAGCAGCGGUGAACUGAGUGACACGUUAACCCCCGACCCCAACUGCAUUCUGGGACUACGCAUCCAGCACAACUGGCGUGAAAAGGGGAACCAGAGCAAAUGGAAGGGAACCGUGCUGGACCGUCUCACCGUCAACCCCUCUCUGUUCAUGGUUAAGUAUGACGGAUUUGACUGCGUCUACGGGAUCGAGCUCUUCAAGGACGAGAGGGUGUCAAAUCUACAAGUACUUACAGAGAAAGUCGUGAACAACAAGAUCAAAGUACCUCACGGGGCUGAGGAGUUGGUCGGCAAAGCUGUGGAGCAUCUCUUUGAAAAAGAAGAUGGCGAGAAGAACGAGUGGAGGGGGCAUGGUCCUCUCGCGAGCCCCCAUCAUGACCAACUGGUAUUACAUCACCUACGAGAAGGACCCCGUGCUUUAUAUGUACCAGCUGUGGGACGACUACGCCGACGGAGACCUGAGGAUUCUACCUGAAGCAGAGAACAAGCAUCUGUUGCCCGCAGACAGGAAGCCCGGGGAGGAGACGGAGAGCCUGGUAGGUAAGCAGGUAGAGUAUGUUACUGACAAGGGUGUGAAGAGAACAGGCCUGGUCAUCUACCAGGUGCCGGCCAAGCCCUCCGUGUACUACAUCAAGUACGACGACGACUUUCACGUCCACGUGUACGACCUGGUGAAGACCACCUAGAUGGCAAGAGGACACUUUACCUCCCUUUCCCUACCGAGAGGGGCUUGUCUCUCGUUGUUAUGUUUUGUUUUUAAAGCCUUUAUGGGGAUUAACAUAAUCAUAUGAUGAAUCAUUGUACAAAAUAAAAGCUUUUUUUGUUUGCACAGCAACGCUGUAGCAUUGCUAUGCUUGACUAUUGUGCAAACAACACCUGACAUAAUGAUAUAAAUGCUGUGGAUACCUCCUAGUAACCAACAGUUACAAACCUGCAGUUUCGGUCAGAUACUUUAAUAAUACAUUAUCUCCAAAGUAAUAAGAUGUUUACAGUUAUGCAAAGAAAUCGUGUGGAAGCAAUUUUCUCAUUGCUAACAUCAAUGACAUAAUGUGCUUGAUUUGCUCAAAGGAUAACUUAGAUUUUGAAAACUUGGGGACCAGUGAGAAGUAAGAUAUGUAGCUGCAUCUGAUAAAUUGCCCCUACCAACACAAUAUGGUUUGUCCUUAUGCAGGUCUUUUAUUCUCUCGUUUGUUCAUUUUUUUUUUUUUCUUUCUCUUUCUUUAUGUCACUUGUUCUUACUUGCAACACCAUGGACGGCCGACUAUUUAAUGGAUACUUGCUUAUUUGGUUGCAAAAAUAUGUCCCAUAUGCAGUCUGAUGCCGAACCAACUCUCACUCUGUGGUCGAUGGCAGGUUUCUGCCAAGAUGCCAUUGGUCGUUAAAAGCACAAGGAACAUAUGUUUCUAUGGUGCAUGUUGCCAUUUGCUACAUUUAUCCAUUAACUUUAAAUAUCAUUAAGUGCCUUCAGGCUAAUCACGCUGCAAUAUAUCUAUAUAUAUAUAUACAUAUAUAUAUGUAUAUUUAUAUAUAUAUAUGUAUAUAUACACACACAUACAUACUUGCGCUACUGCUAACUUACUAGCUUUACCACUUGGUUUUUCAUUGUCCCACAUAGUAAAUGUGACUUGAGUUUUAAAAAAAAUCACAAACAUCAGUUUAUAUUGGAGAACAUGUGCAAUGAUGCUUUACUGUAAAUGCAGUAUACAAUUGAUUUUCAAAGAUAACAUGCUGAGUCAUUGGUUAUGUCUGAUUGUUCGUGACAAAAGGAUCACUCAUUAUAUUGUGUAUAGUUCAUAUUUGUUUAGGUUAUGGUACUCUUGACCUGUUUGACCCAACAUGCUUAUUAGAGCCAAUGCUGCAAAUUAUGCAUCACUUUACACGCAUGAAGUAAAUUUGUAACAGUUAUUUGUUACAGACUAGUCCAUACAUUUUACAGUAUUUAAUCUGUAAUUUAUCUCUGAAAUGUAUUGUAAUGUUGCCUGUUGUGAUCAACCUGUAUGUGAAUAUUUCACACCAGCUUUUCUCAAAACAGAUAUGUAGUAUAAAGUAAAGUUAGGACAUAAAGUCACAAUAUAUGACAGUUAUCAUCAAACUACAUAAGCGGUAAAUAUUGGGCAGGAGUCUCUUACUCAUCAGAAGGGUAUUAUUAAAAGUAUUAUUAUAAUGGAUCAUAUCAUGGUUUAAGGAAUAUAUGUCUGCCACUCCUCCAGGCUAUUCUGUGUACGCCUCAGUUAAGUAGUGAGUUUAUAGGUAUACUGUGGUUUCAUGCUUUUCUAUUAUGUGGCUGUUCAAAAUUUGCAUGUGUCAUUAGGAAGAAACUUGUGGACAUAAACAAAUUUCAACCAUGGUUGUGGAAGAAUGAAAAUGUCUACAAUAAUCUGGAGUUAUUAAAAACCUGGAUUUAAAAUAACAAAAAAUAUGUGUAUAUUUAAUUUAAACAAGUGAAUGUGUUUUAAAAAAAGAAAUUGUGAUUAUAAUGGAGGAAUGUUGCCACAACUUGUUUCUCUGGUGUGAUGUUGAGUGGAUAUUCAAAUGGCAGUGUGCGGUCUUCAUUCUUUAAAUAUCCUUCCCUCUUGUACUGAAGUUGCAGCAUCGACAGGCAAUUUGUGUCAAAAUUCUGUCAUAAAUAAAGUUUUUGCACAUUU